AUGAAAGCACCAAAAUUGUUAGGAACCAGAAUAAUCCUUUAGAAUUGGAGGACUAAGGGCUUCCCAAACACAAAGGGCACUAACGGAAAUGUAAAAGAAUAACAGAAAAGCAUAACCCAAAGGAAAUGGAAAAGCAUAACAGAAUGGUAAAUGGCAGAUAACAUCUCCUAGCCAAGCCAGCUCCUCAACCUAUAGCAUAAUCUGUUGAUGCCUUGGUGGGUUGAUGCUUCUUUUGGGCCUUAUGGUCCUCUACCUAUCAACUGCAUAAGGGAGUUGUUGUAAACGUUAAGUAAUGCAUAAGGGAGUUGUUGUAAACGUUAAGUAAAGCAUGAAGUCAUGUGCAAUUUCAAUAUACCCUGGGAGGAUGUUAGUGUAAUUUGUUCUAAUAAUAUCCUUAGUUACUCUACAUGAAUUUUAUGUUUUUCUUUGCUUUCUUGUAAUUGAUUUGGAAAUCAGGAUGGUGUUGAUUAACCAGUUUUGUGCUCAUAGUCAUAGCUUUAGAUUCUUGUCUUAUAUAAUGAAAUGGGAAAUUUGUUAACCAAAUUGAGUGCGAAUUAUUUGUUUUGCCUAUCUUUCUUACAAGCAGCAUGCUUUGCUCUUGCUCUUGGCUUUUGUGGGUCUGCAAAUUUACAAUUGGGACCCUACUGCUCACGUUUGAUAAAAAUCAACUCAAUGUUAGUGCAGUCUAUGAAGGUGAUUGAUUGAAGUUUGAUUAACAUAGAUUGCAUACAUUAUAUGUACUCACUAAUCUUACAUAAACAUGCAGGAAGAAAAAGGCUUGUUGAGUGGAAAGAGGACCCAUUAUUCCCUAAUGCAACAUUGUACUGGAAUACUAUCUCACAGUAAAAGCUGUGCUCAUAUGCUCCAUACUUUUUCUUUUUAUUAUGAUCUUAUCAUCUGUAUUAUUUGUCUAUUUUAAUUCCAGGAAGUGGCAGCAUCACAUAGAAAAUAUCACAAUCAUUUACUUAUUAUGUGGCAGUUGACAAUAUGAACCUUCAAAAUGUAGAGGUAGAAUAGAACUUCUCUUCGAAUGCACUUAUCUAGUAUCUACAAUACAUCCUUCACAAGCCAUAGAUGUUCUUUGUAUAAUGGUUUACGUGUAUUAUUAAACCUUGUUCUUUUGGAGUCAAACACUGCAAUAUUAACAACUCCAGGUGACAGAGAGGUGGAUUUGUGUCACAGCAUAACUCUUCUGCACUAAUUCACAUGUAAUCCAACGAGUGUUUCUGAUGAAGAAAGGUUUGAUGUGAAUGUAUCUUAUGAACAAAGAUGGAUCAUAUAUUUAACAGGAUCAGGUGUGGUACCCGUGCUAGUCUUACUUGCCCUGAAAAUCUUCAAAAUGUUCCAAACUAAUGGCGAAGAAAGGGAAGAAUUCCAACAAGUGCAACUGAUUUUAGAACAAGCUCCACUACUGCCUAGUAAAGAUGAUGUUCUUCCAAGUUGGGGUUCAUCUGAUGAAUCUCUCUCUAAUGAAGAAGAGGAUCUCACAAUGUGGCUUGCAUUGCAGGGAAUUCUUCUAUGGAAGGAAAGUCAUCAAGGGAAGGGGAGACUAGCAAUGACCUCUAGCAUUUGUAUGCCAUUUGCUUUGAUGCUCAAAGGGAUUGCUUCUUUCUCCCAUGUGGUCAUUGGGUGGCAUGCUUUCCAUUUGGAACUAGUUACACAUUACUUUUAUAUUUAGGCCAAAUGACUUAUUUAGUCUUUUAUUUUAUUUUUUUGUUCACUUUAA